ACCAGCAGCUUUUCAGUCUAUGAGCUUUGAACAUGUGGAAAUGUUGAGGCCUGUCCCUGCAAGAUGGUUAUCCUGAAAAACUGCAGCCAGCAUUUUCUUUUUAAGAGUUUCCUUGCUACUAACAGUGAUUUUGAACCUUAGAUGAAAAGUGAUCAAAGACCAAUAAAGGUGGUUUGUGUGAGGAAAACGAUUUCAGAGUUCCAGAAGAAUCACUGA